rnacentral:rRNA from 1 species
AGAGUUUGAUCCUGGCUCAGGAUGAACGCUGGCGGCGUGCCUAACACAUGCAAGUCGAACGGAACUAUUUUGGAAACUCCUUCGGGAGCGGAAUCUUUAGUUUAGUGGCGGACGGGUGAGUAACGCGUGAGCAAUCUGCCUUUAAGAGGGGGAUAACAGUCGGAAACGGCUGCUAAUACCGCAUAAAGCAUUGAAUUCGCAUGUUUUCGAUGCCAAAGGAGCAAUCCGCUUUUAGAUGAGCUCGCGUCUGAUUAGCUGGUUGGCGGGGUAACGGCCCACCAAGGCGACGAUCAGUAGCCGGACUGAGAGGUUGAACGGCCACAUUGGGACUGAGACACGGCCCAGACUCCUACGGGAGGCAGCAGUGGGGAAUAUUGCGCAAUGGGGGAAACCCUGACGCAGCAACGCCGCGUGAUUGAAGAAGGCCUUCGGGUUGUAAAGAUCUUUAAUCAGGGACGAAAAAUGACGGUACCUGAAGAAUAAGCUCCGGCUAACUACGUGCCAGCAGCCGCGGU